rnacentral:tRNA from 1 species
AUCUAAAUAGCUUAUAAAGAGCAUUGAACUGAAGAUUCAAGGGAAAUUAUUUAAUUUUUAGAUA